rnacentral:rRNA from 1 species
UACGGAGGGUGCAAGCGUUAUCCGGAUUCACUGGGUUUAAAGGGUGCGUAGGCGGAUAGGUAAGUCCGUGGUGAAAUCCUGCAGCUUAACUGCAGAACUGCCGUGGAUACUAUCUAUCUUGAAUGUCGUGGAGGUUAGCGGAAUAUGUCAUGUAGCGGUGAAAUGCUUAGAUAUGACAUAGAACACCAAUAGCGAAGGCAGCUUACUACAUGGAGAUUGACGCUGAGGCACGAAAGCGUGGGGAGCAAACAGG